rnacentral:rRNA from 1 species
UAACGUUUCCCCUACGGCCGUUCGUUACACACCGCCCGUCCACAUCAUGAAAGCCGUUUGUACCCGAAGUCGCCCCUUAAAAGGUGCCGAAGGUAUGGAUGGUGAUUGGGAUG